UUGUUUACCUGGUAGGGUAGGUAGGUAGGUACCGUGUAAGGUGGGUUUUCUAGGGUCAAGCUAAUCCUUUAUGCUCCAGAUCAGCACAUCCAGAUCCCUGUAAUUUCCCAAAUGGGGGAACUUCAACUGCAUAAUUUUUGCUAGCAGGAAAUUGUCAGCACCCUUCCCUG